UACGGAGGGAGCUAGCGUUGUUCGGAAUUACUGGGCGUAAAGCGCACGUAGGCGGCUUUUUAAGUCAGGGGUGAAAUCCCGGGGCUCAACCCCGGAACUGCCCUUGAAACUGGAGAGCUAGAAUCUUGGAGAGGCGAGUGGAAUUCCGAGUGUAGAGGUGAAAUUCGUAGAUAUUCGGAAGAACACCAGUGGCGAAGGCGACUCGCUGGACAAGUAUUGACGCUGGAGGUGCGAAA
rnacentral:rRNA from 1 species